rnacentral:rRNA from 1 species
GAUGAACGCUGGCGGCGUGCUUAACACAUGCAAGUCGAACGAAGCACUUUAUUUGAUUUCCUUCGGGAUUGAUUAUUUUGUGACUGAGUGGCGGACGGGUGAGUAACGCGUGGGUAACCUGCCUUGUACAGGGGGAUAACAGUUGGAAACGGCUGCUAAUACCGCAUAAGCGCACAGCAUCGCAUGAUGCAGUGUGAAAAACUCCGGUGGUAUAAGAUGGACCCGCGUUGGAUUAGCUAGUUGGUGAGGUAACGGCCCACCAAGGCGACGAUCCAUAGCCGACCUGAGAGGGUGACCGGCCACAUUGGGACUGAGACACGGCCCAAACUCCUACGGGAGGCAGCAGUGGGGAAUAUUGCACAAUGGGCGAAAGCCUGAUGCAGCGACGCCGCGUGAGCGAAGAAGUAUUUCGGUAUGUAAAGCUCUAUCAGCAGGGAAGAUAAUGACGGUACCUGACUAAGAAGCACCGGCUAAAUACGUGC